rnacentral:misc_RNA from 1 species
ACAUCAAGCCAAGCUUUAAAUUCUGCAAGGCGAUCUCUCCACUUUGAUGGGGGAACAUCAUCUAAGGUGAACUAUGGGCCUGAACUAGGCUUGGUCUGUUGUGGAGCCCCUGGUAGUCCAAAAUCUAGAAUUGGUUCAUCAUCAGGGAUCUCAACAUGAGGGUCUUGAGGAGGCCCUGUAGGGCCUGUAGUGCCACUGGUAGAAUCUGUGGUUGGUGAAGGACCUGUUUGGGAGGCUGUUGGCUGAGGAUCAGCCAUGAGCAGUGUCGUGAUAUCCAUUCGUCCAUCUUCACUGUCAUCAGACGAGUCAUCAGAAAAAUCUUCUUCUAGUUCUGGCUCAGAGGGUAUGGACACCAUAUGCUGAGGAGGAGGAUCAGGAUACAUUUUGUCCUUCCCUUUAUCAAUCUUCCUUUUUGAAGGAUGGGAUUCUUCUGAGGAAGAUGGACUCUUUUGCUCAUACCUGGCAGGUGUUGGAGUAGGUUUGAACAAAGGAGAUGGGUGAUAUGUUGGAGGUGGUUCAUAUGAAUAGUUAAAAGGUCCAAAAGGGGAGUAAGCAGGUUCAGGAGUAGGAAGAAAAGGAUUAGGAGUUGUUUGAGCAGAGAAAGGGCUGAAUGGGCUGAAAGAGACUGGAGCUUCUGUGGGCUUGUGCAAGUCUGCUUCAACUUGGGCUAAUUGUUUCUUCAGCCUUCUUAUUUCCUGUUCCUUUUGAUUGAAUUCUACACCAAAUCUCCGUUGCUGGAUCAAAGCCUUCAGAUCUCUAUCAAGCUGGGUAAUUCUGCUUUGUAAGUCCUUGUACAUGUUUUGGGCAAAAGCAGUGAAGGAGUCAAUCUUUUGAUCAACAUGCUGAGUCCUGGUGAGGACCUAGUCAAUCUUGGAAUCAAUACGCUAUAGUGUCUUAUUCUGGACAGCAGCAUUUUUGGUUUGCCAGUUCAAAACUUCUUCAGCUUGAGUGAUCGGGGUUGUCUGACCUUCACUAUCAACCUUAGUUGAGUGAAUGAAAGGUCUGGUGGAAAUUUUGGUCUGCUGGUCGGUCUGUUGUGCUAAUGGAGGAAAAUCUGCUUCAUAAGAGGUAGGUGAGAACAUCAUACAGGGUUGUACCAGGGGAAGAAACCGGUUUAAGAGGGGGUAAUUUCUUUUCUUCCUUUCUGAUGAUCUCAAGGGCAAGCUCAUAGAUGGGAAGAGGCUUCUUCUGCUUGGUUUCUUCAUGGAUACCAAUCCAUGGGCUACUAUCUGGAUAGUCUCUGCUGAGAACUUGUUGUGGCUUGCAAGAGGCUCUUCUUGUUUGUUUGGUGAGCUUCCUCCAAUUUUUAUCAGACAGAGGAUGGUCAUAUUCAUUUUCCCAGUAAUUGUCUUGACAAUCACAAUCUUCAUCGCAUGCUCCAGAUUGUGAGUGUGCACCCACUCAUUCAUAAAUGUGGCACGCACUUGGAAAUGUCAUCAAGGUGAUCGUCAAAAUCUACCAAAUGCUGCCACUUCUCGCUUGAAACAAAAUCCAGCAACACAAUAUUUGCUGCUGGCUCCUUAAGUAUCAACCUAUUGCCUCCAUCAGAUCUAGCUAGCUUCCAGUUCUUUGUUGCAUCCCUUGUAUAAAGCCGCAUAACAGGGCUCCGGUCUUUCCCCUUUGGUAAUGCUUCAAUCUUUUUGUUAUCUAACAAGAGAAUGGCAGCUUGAGGGAAGUAGCGAUAAAUGUGAUCCCCAAUAUUCUUGGCCACAUUAUCAAGCUCGGCAUCAUCGAACCUCUCGUUUGCAUGGAAGUAACCCACUAUACCCAGACCUUGAGCAAUAUAGUACUCUUCUAUCAUGAUAAGGGAGAUCUCGAGAGGAGGGAGUAGGCCGAGGUGGUUGUGAAAAAGAGGGACAGAGUCGGCAAUCUCGACGACGUCGUCGUUGGAUCGACCAAGUAAGACGCCGUUAACGGCUGAGGACCUGUGCUUGAGCGCGUGUAGCACCAGCUUUAUGUAGGCAUUCUGCGACAUGUCGUACUUGAGCUCCCCACCAGCCAUUUUCUUCUCCCAAUUUUCGAUCGUUUUAGACUUGCCGGCGACAAGAAACUAGGAAGCAGGCCGUCUCUUUUGUGAGCUCUGAGUGGGAGAGAUUAUUCUUGUUAGGCCGUACACAUAUAAAUAAAAAAAAAUUUAUUGUG